ACACACAUCCAUAUAUUUGUUUAUAUAUAUAUGUAUAUAUAUGUGUGUGUGUGUGUAUAUAUAUAUACACACACACACACACACACAUUCACACACAUACCAGGUUUCUUCACAUGAAGUAUUUUUAUUCAUUAUUUUUAAAUCAUGAUCAAUAAUACUCUGAUGUUCCUAUGAAAGAUUUCUGGUGCAAAGCGUUUUCUUUUCGUUCUUUUUUUACACCUUCAAUUUCUAUAGAA